rnacentral:rRNA from 1 species
AUUGAACGCUGGCGGCAGGCCUAACACAUGCAAGUCGAGCGGAUGAAGGGAGCUUGCUCCUGGAUUCAGCGGCGGACGGGUGAGUAAUGCCUAGGAAUCUGCCUGGUAGUGGGGGAUAACGUCCGGAAACGGGCGCUAAUACCGCAUACGUCCUGAGGGAGAAAGUGGGGGAUCUUCGGACCUCACGCUAUCAGAUGAGCCUAGGUCGGAUUAGCUAGUUGGUGGGGUAAAGGCCUACCAAGGCGACGAUCCGUAACUGGACUGAGAGGAUGAUCAGUCACACUGGAACGGAGACACGGUCCAGACUCCUACGGGAGGCAGCAGUGGGGAAUAUUGGACAAUGGGCGAAAGCCUGAUCCAGCCAUGCCGCGUGUGUGAAGAAGGUCUUCGGAUUGUAAAGCACUUUAAGUUGGGAGGAAGGGCAGUAAGUUAAUACCUUGCUGUUUUGACGUUACCAACGGAAUAAGCACCGGCUAACUUCGUG